rnacentral:rRNA from 1 species
AUACGGAGGGUGCGAGCGUUAAUCGGAAUUACUGGGCGUAAAGCGCGCGUAGGCGGUCUGUUAAGUCGGGUGUGAAAGCCCCGGGCUCAACCUGGGAAUGGCAUCCGAUACUGGCAGGCUAGAGUCUGGUAGAGGGAAGUGGAAUUCCGCAUGUAGCGGUGAAAUGCGUAGAUAUGCGGAGGAACACCAGUGGCGAAGGCGGCUUCCUGGACCAAGACUGACGCUGAGGUGCGAAAGCGUGGGGAGCAAACAGGAUUAGAAACCCUUGUAGUCC